AAGAGACGGCUCUUUUUGGUGAGCUGAGUCGAACGAGCCGGCUCACUGAAAAUAGAUGGAAUGCCCAUCACUAUCUUGAACAUGUGUCGUUCCUUCUCUAUUUCUAGAUGCAAUCAGUUACGUGGCAAAAAUCAGAUUGAGACCUUCAAUCAAACUGAGGGCAGAGAAAUAUGUGUGCACCAGACAGGUAAAGGCUUCUUGCAUGCAUGACUUUGAGAGAGUCAAAUGUGAGAGGGCAUCCCAGAUGACCAAGUGACUGAACAAAAUCUGGCCUGCAAACCAGGAACAUGAAGGAGACUGCGAUCCAGAGGGCUCAGUGGACCAGACAGAAUGGGGCCAAGACAGUCAAAGAGCCAUUCCAGACUCUGAAAUCAGGAGGACUUCAAGAAUUAGGUGUUAGUCAGACUAGUGAUUGACUAGUGAUUGACUGCAAUGGAAAAGUAAUUGUUUGUCAACAAAAUAACACAAUUUUAAGUAGUAUGGUGCAGAGUCUCACAAGCAUUAGAAACAGCAGUGGGUGUGAAUACGGUGGGAACAUGUGGAUCUGAGCAAGUGUGAUGUCAUUAAGAUUGCUCAGGACUUCUACAUUUUAAACCUGGACUGCUUGUGGAAACUCACUGAUAACUGGAUCACAGUCUUCAAGGACAAAAAAACUUUGCUUCGCCAGUCCAGAGAGAAGCAGGCCCAAGAUUUUCUCUUCAAAGUGCAAGUAUUGUUUGAAAUGACCCUGCUGGUGGUGCCUCAGAUGCUCAGUUAUAAUCAAGUUAUUCACUAAACAUUCAUCUCUCCAGAUACACAAGGUGACGUCACUUGAAGACGUCACUUUAAGACUAUUAGUGGUCCUCCCAACACCAGUCUACAAGAUAGGCAGGAAGACAUUCCGACCCAGCUUCAAUGAGACCAGAAAGUCCUUCAUUGACUUGCAGCCUUGCAUGCAUUCAACAACCUUUGGGACGAAGGACUUCCACAGGGCCACCAUCUCCAAAGUUCACUCAAAAAAAAGGGCAUAGUUCUGAACUGUGUUUGAUUUCGUUUUUGUUGUUUUAAUUAAUAAAACAUUUUUAAUUAUCUUUUUAAACUUCCAUUGGUUGAAAUCUAUUGCUCAGUUAUCACUUGGCUCAUGUAAAUAAUUAUGUAGUUGUCCCUUUAAACAUCCUAAGGUCAUCAUCCCCAUAGUGUUCCCAUUUCUCUCACUCAUAAAUGUUGUAGAUCAAUAAAAAUAUUAAAUAAACAAUUUAUUUGGGAAA